rnacentral:rRNA from 1 species
AAUGGAUCCAGGCCCCCUCUGGGCGACCCAACCAAUCUAUUCACGGAGAGCCUGAGCGGCGCACAGCGCAACAGCAACCAGAAGUAUCAUCCCACCCACGCGGACCAAACCCUCCUCCAAGCUGAAGGAAGGCACGCCAAGCCCAAGCCGAACCGACCCGCCCCCCUAAAAUCCCAAUCCCUUCUCCCGUCCGUCUUCCCUUCUCCAUCCCCUCCCUUCCUCAACGAACGAACGAAUCCAAUCCCCCUCGCCCACGCAUCUCGCCCCUCCUUUCCCCUCCCCCGCAAGCAACGACGGGCAGAGAGCGGCGCGGGGAUCGCCGGCGGCGCCGAUGAGGUCGACGGACUCCUCGUCGCGGUUCGUGCAGGAGCUGGUGCUGUACGCGGCGAGCGCGGCGCUCAGCUGCCUCGUCCUCUUCGCCGGCCUCCGCCAGCUCGACCCCAACCGCGAGUCCUCCAAGAAGGCGCUCCAGCACAAGAAGGAGAUCGCCAAGCGCCUCGGCAGGCCCCUCAUCUCCACCACCCCCUACGAGGAUGUGAUUGCGUGCGACGUCAUCAACCCCGACGAGAUCGACGUCGAGUUCGAGUCCGUCGGCGGCCUCGACGAGGUCAAGCAGGCGCUCUACGAGCUCGUCAUCCUGCCCCUGCGCCGCCCCGAGCUCUUCGCCUACGGCAAGCUCCUCAGCCCGCAGAAGGGGGUGCUCCUCUACGGCCCGCCCGGGACCGGCAAGACCAUGCUGGCCAAAGCCAUCGCCAAGGAGUCGGGCGCCGUCUUCAUCAACGUCAGGAUAUCCAAUCUCAUGAGCAAGUGGUUCGGCGACGCCCAGAAGCUCGUGUCUGCCGUAUUUAGUCUCGCCAACAAGCUUCAGCCCGCCAUUAUCUUCAUCGAUGAGGUUGAUAGUUUCUUGGGACAGCGCCGGAACACAGACCAUGAAGCUUUGACUAAUAUGAAGACAGAGUUCAUGUCUCUUUGGGACGGUUUCACCACCGAUCAGAAUGCUCGUGUGAUGGUGCUUGCUGCUACAAACAGACCUUCUGAGCUAGAUGAGGCCAUCCUCAGGCGCUUCACGCAGAUAUUUGAAAUUGGGGUUCCUGCUCGCAGUGAAAGAAGCAAGAUACUUGAGGUUAUAUUGAAGGGAGAAAAUAUCGAGUCUAACAUUGAUUAUGAUUACAUUGCCAGUUUGUGUGAGGGCUUUACUGGGUCAGACAUCCUAGAACUGUGCAAGCAGGCUGCAUUCUAUCCUAUCAGGGAGAUUUUGAACAGCGAGAAAGAUGGGACAAGAGCAAAUAGUCCAAGACCCUUGAGGCAAUCGGACCUGGAGAAAGCUUUGUCAACAUCUAGAAAGGGAAAGAAGGCCGCAAGCGGUGCGACAUCGGGUCUCCAGUCACCUGUGUGGAUCCGGCCAUCGGAUCCCGAAGAUGACCAGGUACAGAGCGCAAUCUUUGAGAUAUCUAAGCUGAUGUCUCGAAUAGUUCAGAACAGUCAGUCGGAACCGCAGGAGCCAUCUUCACCUUAAUCUAAAAACAGAAGGUUUUCCUUUUGCUAGAUCUCUGAAAAAUCCGCAGUGGAGUAAGCGCUGGCAUUACCUACCUAGAUUCAGCAUAUGUAUUGGUUCGGUCGGUUAGCGUCGUGGGGCCGCUCUCUGGUUUUUGAAGUUUAUUGCAGCUGGCAAAGCCCCGCACUGAUGUUUUGAGUUCCAUCGUUCUGUGUGUGGAAAAUGCAGAAUUCUAUAGUUCUGUGGAACACCUGGUCUGUUCAUCUUGUAAUUUUCGUUUUGGAACUUAACUGUUGUAGGGUAGACAGACUCUAUACAUACUGAAGAAAUGUGCCCUUCCAUCAUCAUCAUUCCAUGGUUCAAAAAUACCGUCCGUUCUUUUCAUAUCAUCUGAAUGUUACUUGCACCCCUAUCCAUUGAGAUUUUUCGCUUUUUUGUUUGGGAGAAGCGCCGUGUUUUCGCCUCGGAUGAAGCGAGCAUCAAUACCAUAAACGAUCAGCGACGCUUGUGUUUAUUAAGAGCUGCUGAGUCUAUCAGCCAUGAGCUACCUGCUUGGCGUCUUCAUGGCGCUGGUUUCAUGAACGAUUUGAGACGCUUGGUGUCUUCCAGCCAUGAAUUAAUUAAUCGCUGAAUACAUCAUCUGGCAUCGUAUCGUAUCACGUCGAGCAUGAAGAGCACCUGCUUGGUGUUUUCAUGGCGCUGGUCUCCAUCAUGGACAGCUCUUGAGACAGAGAAAUGCCCUUGAGCACCAGGACGUCGUCGUCGCCGUCACCGUUGCCUCUGGCCGCCUCCAGCGGCUUCCUGGACACAGUGGCGUGGAUCUCCUCGAGCAGGCCGAGGAAGGCGGCCUCGACGUUGUCGCCGCUGAGCGCGGACGCCUCGUAGAAGAAGAGCCCCUGCUCCUCCGCGAAGGCCUCGGCCUCGUCGGCCCCCACCUCGCGGCGCCCCGGCGCAGCGGCGGCGAGGUCGGCCUUGUUGCCGACGAGCGCGACGACGAUGGACUUGUCGGCGUGGGCGCGGAGCUCGGCGACCCAGCGGGCGACGUGGGCGAAGCUGUCCCGGCGCGUGACGUCGUAGACGAGCAUGGCGCCCAGCGCGCCCCGGUAGUAGGCGCUGGUGACGGCCCGGUAGCGCUCCUGGCCGGCGGUGUCCCAUAUCUGGGCCUUGACGCGGCGGCCGGCGAUGUCGACGGUGCGCGUCUGGAACUCGAUGCCGAUGGUGGACUUGGAGUCGAGGCAGAACUCGCCCCGCGUGAAGCGCCCCAGCAGCUGCGUCUUCCCCACCCCCGAGUCGCCGAUCACCACCACCUUGAACACGUAGUCCUCCUCCAUGGCCCCGGCGAUCGGUCUGAACUCUGAAGGCAGACGCCGGCGGCUGCUGGCGUGAAGCUGCACCUGUAUAUGGCGGCCUGUAUCAGACGGACACUGGCUAGCUCAUGCGCGUAUGUCGUCUGACAUCCGUGCCUCUGCGUGUAUAUAAAUAUGUGGGUGACAUGGGGGAGAGCGAGAGUGGUUGAAACUUGAAAGGAGGGGGUUGCUCACUUGCAUCGCUGCUCUCACUAUAGUAGUAAUGGAGGUGUUGCUAGUAUUUGAUUGAUUUUUUGUACAUCUCUCUUGUGUUAUUUACUUUUUAAAAUACUAAAGAUCAGAUUUCGUGGUGGAGCAAGGAUGCCAAUUCUUCAAGAUCAAAAGUUCCGUGUUCU